UACGUAGGGGGCAAGCGUUGUCCGGAAUCAUUGGGCGUAAAGAGCGUGUAGGCGGCUCGAUAAGUCUGCUGUGAAAGUCCAGGGCUCAACCCUGGAAGGCCGGUGGAAACUGUCGGGCUAGAGUCCGGAAGAGGCGAGUGGAUUCCCGGUGUAGCGGUGAAAUGCGCAGAUAUCGGGAGGAACACCAAUGGCGAAGGCAGCUCGCUGGGACGGUACUGACGCUGAGACGCGAAAGCGUGGGGAGCAAACAGGG
rnacentral:rRNA from 1 species